CAUCUUUAGUCCAUUAAUCCCAUAUUGCCUAAUUAAAUAAAUCCUCAUGCUGCCUGCACCUAUAAAUAAGUCCCAACACUUCAACCUAAAAACCAUCCAAUAAAUCCAAGCAUCCAAUCUCCAAUUCAUCUUCCACCAUUUUCUAGCCUCUUCUUUAGCACUUUAGCAAGGAGGAUGAAGGGAGUGAUGGCGAGCGAAAUCAACAUCAUGUGCAGCUAGAGGUAUAGUCUUCGGGGGAGU
rnacentral:lncRNA from 1 species